GAUCUAGUGGUGUAGUGGUAACACAUCAACAUGAAGUGCCCAGUCAUGAUCCACUUUUCAGUAGAGGACUCCUGUUCAACUCAGGGCUGGGUCA